GCAACGAGCGCAACCCUUGCCUUUAGUUGCCAGCAGUUCGGCUGGGCACUCUAAAGGGACUGCCGGUGUUAAACCGGAGGAAGGUGGGGAUGACGUCGAGUCAUCAUGGCCCUUACGGCCUGGGCUACACACGUGCUACAAUGGUCGGUACAAAGGGUUGCCAAGCCGCGAGGUGGAGCUAAUACCCAUAAAACCGAUCGUAGUCCGGAUCGCAGUCUGCAACUCGACUGCGUGAAGUCGGAAUCGCUAGUAAUCGUGAAUCAGAAUGUCACGGUGAAUACGUUCCCGGGCCUU
rnacentral:rRNA from 1 species